UACGAAGGGGGCUAGCGUUGCUCGGAAUCACUGGGCGUAAAGCGCACGUAGGCGGCUUUGUAAGUUAGAGGUGAAAGCCCGGGGGCUCAACUCCGGAAUUGCCUUUAAGACUGCAUCGCUAGAAUUGUGGAGAGGUAAGUGGAAUUCCGAGUGUAGAGGUGAAAUUCGUAGAUAUUCGGAAGAACACCAGUGGCGAAGGCGACUUACUGGACACAUAUUGACGCUGAGGUGCGAAAGCGUGGGGAGCAAACAGG
rnacentral:rRNA from 1 species